rnacentral:lncRNA from 1 species
AGUUAGUGUAGCUUGAUUAUCUUACAUCAACAAGUGGUAUCAGAGCGGGUAUCUAUAUUUUUUUUCAAAACAGGUAAGAUCAUGCGGAGUAAGAUGGACAGCUACAGUGAGAUGUUGUCGCACUCAAAGUUGAUCCUUGAAGUAGUAAACUACAGCUUUUGGAAGGCUCGUAUGAAGGCAACGAUCAAGGGGAUAGAUCCUCUGGCAUGGAAAGCUGUGGAAUCUGGGUGGACGGCACCUGUUGCCAGAGG